CCCCCCCACCCAUCCCACCGCCACCUCCCCCACCUCCCGGCGGUUACCAGCUCCUCCUCCUGACAUGCCGCUCCGCAGCUCCUCCAUCGACCCCGCUGCUCCAAUUGCUUCGCGAGGCCGGGAGCAUUUCGUCGCGUUGCCAUCCCGAGUUCAACGCCGGCGUCGCCAUCCCGAGUUCACCGCCGGCGUCUCCCUCCCGAGUUCACCGCCGGCGUCGCCCAGUUUCUUCAACCUCUGUGAGCGGGCCGCGCUCUCACCCGUCGGCGCGGUGGCCGUCACCUCUGCGGCGGAAGCUCCCCUCCCGCCUAGCGACCUCCUCUCCGAGCUCUCCUUCACUGCCGAGAAAGCCCGUUAUCCCGAGCUAACCUUCACUGGCGGAUAUCCUCGGCGCCGGAAGGGUCCUUCCCCCACUGGAUUCCUCCUCGCCUGGGAAUCCCGUCCUGCCGUCACCUGAUCCUCAUCCGCGUGCGGCGGACGAUCCCCUCCCGCUGGGCGCCCUCCUCCCCGCCGGGGAAUCCUGUCCCGCCGACACCUUCUCCUCCGGUCGGCCACUCUCAAACGAUAUCAAUGGAAGGCUCCUUACUGUAAAUAAAACAGCUCCUAGAGGCUCUCGUGUGGAAAGACCUCCCAGACAAUUUGGUGGUCCUUUCAGGAUUUAUGUGGGCAAUCUGCCAUGGCAAGUGGAUGACUCUAGAUUGGUGCAGUUGUUCAGCGAGCAUGGCAAAGUGGUUGAUGCCAGAGUUGUCUAUGACCGAGAAUCUGGGCGUUAGCGGGGAUUUGAUUUUGUAACUAUGGCAACGCAGGAUGAAUUGGAUGAUGCUAUUGCUGCCCUUGAUGGACAGGAUGAUGGUACUCAGCGUUUGGAGGUUGUCAGGGCUCGUAAUGCAGAUGGCUCUAUUUUACGCCUAGCAAGUGAGGACUUUGAGAAGCAACCUGGACCAUGUGGAUGUGAAUGCUCAAUCAGGAUUAUCUAACAAAUCUUGAACUGUAUGUGAUGCUGCUAGCAGGAAGGAUAUUAAUUGUAAGAUAUUUUUUCUGCAGAUACUUGGACUGAGGAGAUCCGAAUGGACUCUUCCAACAGGCACUAACUUAACUAUUGUUGUUGGUGGUGAGGUAAUUACUCAUAAUUUUUCCUGGUCGAUUGAACUAUUUGCACAUUGAUAAGUGCCCAUUUCAUUAUAUUUAUUGUUUUAUCUUUGUGUAAUCUGAAUAAGCUGUUUAAAGUGAUUCCAGAAAAUUUUGAUCAAACGGCCAAGAAAUGGUGGGCCAUUCCUUUGUUUUGUUCUUAUGGUUGAGUAUUCCUGAUACAAUCUGUUACGUGUGUUUAUUGUUUUUCAUCCAAGCAAGUGAUUAUUUGAUACUUCUCCUUGAUCCAUAUAUUUUACUAGAUAUUUGAGAAAUGUCAGAUUCACAUUUAGUUUGAUAUUUUGAUAUUGCAUUGGUUUGGUUAAGCAAUAGAUCGAUUUUUAUGGUUUUUUGUAUUCUCCUUUGAGCCAAAUCCGAUGGCUUGGAUUCCAUGAGACACUUGCAUAGGCUAAGGAAAACCAGGAUGAGAGCAGUGCCACAUCAGCGAUGUACAAGCGGGUGCUCGUGCAGGUGCCCGCUGCUGUACUUCAUUGUGCUCAAGAUGACGGAACCCAUCUAUGAAUACCAGGAGGCUUCAGUCAGUAAUAUUAUUUUUAUCAUUUGUUUACUUCUGUUGCAAAGAAGGAGCAUCUUGUAAACGGUUGAGGAAGUUCAAGCUGAGUUUUAUGAGGCUAUGCCUUGAACUAAUUUGGAAUUGUGUACCGAGAAGGAACUUGAUAUCCUAUUGCCAACUUAUUUUCCUGUGUUCA